rnacentral:rRNA from 1 species
GAUGAACGCUGGCGGCGUGCCUAAUACAUGCAAGUCGAGCGAACAGACGAGGAGCUUGCUCCUCUGACGUUAGCGGCGGACGGGUGAGUAACACGUGGAUAACCUACCUAUAAGACUGGGAUAACUUCGGGAAACCGGAGCUAAUACCGGAUAAUAUAUUGAACCGCAUGGUUCAAUAGUGAAAGACGGUUUUGCUGUCACUUAUAGAUGGAUCCGCGCCGCAUUAGCUAGUUGGUAAGGUAACGGCUUACCAAGGCAACGAUGCGUAGCCGACCUGAGAGGGUGGUCGGCCACACGGGAACGGAGACGCGGCCCGGACCCCUACGGGAGGCAGCAGUAGGGAAUCUUCCGCAAUGGGCGAAAGCCUGACGGAGCAACGCCGCGGGAGUGAUGAAGGUCUUCGGAUCGUAAAACUCUGUUAUUAGGGAAGAACAAAUGUGUAAGUAACUAUGCACGUCUUGACGGUACCUAAUCAGAAAGCCACGGCUAACUACGUG